rnacentral:rRNA from 1 species
GCGCGCGUAGGUGGCUUGAUAAGCCGGUUGUGAAAGCCCCGGGCUCAACCUGGGAACGGCAUCCGGAACUGUCAAGCUAGAGUGCAGGAGAGGAAGGUAGAAUUCCCGGUGUAGCGGUGAAAUGCGUAGAGAUCGGGAGGAAUACCAGUGGCGAAGGCGGCCUUCUGGACUGACACUGACACUGAGGUGCGAAAGCGUGGGUAGCAAACAGGAUUAGAUACCCUGGUAGUCCACGCCGUAAACGAUGUCGACCAGCCGUUGGGUGCCUAGCGCACUUUGUGGCGAAGUUAACGCGAUAAGUCGACCGCCUGGGGAGUACGGCCGCAAGGUUAAAACUCAAAUGAAUUGACGGGGGCCCGCACAAGCGGUGGAGCAUGUGGUUUAAUUCGAUGCAACGCGAAGAACCUUACCUACUCUUGACAUCCUGCGAAUUUGGUAGAGAUACCUUAGUGCCUUCGGGAACGCAGAGACAGGUGCUGCAUGGCUGUCGUCAGCUCGUGUUGUGAAAUGUUGGGUUAAGUCCCGUAACGAGCGCAACCCUUGUCCUUAUUUGCCAGCGCGUAAUGGCGGGAACUCUAAGGAGACUGCCGGUGACAAACCGGAGGAAGGUGGGGACGACGUCAAGUCAUCAUGGCCCUUACGAGUAGGGCUACACACGUGCUACAAUGGUCGGUACAAAGGGUUGCCAACUCGCGAGAGUGAGCCAAUCCCGAAAAGCCGAUCUCAGUCCGGAUCGGAGUCUGCAACUCGACUCCGUGAAGUCGGAAUCGCUAGUAAUCGUGGAUCAGAAUGCCACGGUGAAUACGUUCCCGGGCCUUGUACACACCGCCCGUCACACCAUGGGAGUGGACUGCACCAGAAGUGGUUAGCCUAACGCAAGAGGGCGUCACCACGU